UACGUAGGUGGCGAGCGUUGUCCGGAUUUACUGGGCGUAAAGCGCGCGCAGGCGGUUCGUUAAGUCCGGUGUGAAAGCUCCCGGCUCAACUGGGAGAGGUCAUUGGAUACUGGCGGACUUGAGGGAUGCAGAGGAAGGUGGAAUUCCACGUGUAGCAGUGAAAUGCGUAGAGAUGUGGAGGAACACCGAUGGCGAAGGCAGCCCCCUGGGCUGAGAUUGACGCUCAGGCACGAAAGCGUGGGGAGCAAACAGG
rnacentral:rRNA from 1 species